CGUAAUUAGGAGGGGGCAAAGUGUAGGUUUUUAAAUGUCAGGGGGAAAAAGUGAAAAAACGGGUUAUUACAUGGGGGUUUUCUGUAAUUUAACCUUUAAAAUAUCAUAACAUACAAUAAAAUUAUUUAAAAUCUUAAAGCAAAAAAAUUCCAUAAAAAAGUAACACGAUAAAAAAUUAGGAUUAUGAUUUUUAGAAUGAGUAAAUAAAAAUAUAUAUAUUUAAUUAAGAAAAUAUAUUUUGUAAUUAAAAAAUAUAUGUGUGGGUACCCGUGGGUACCCGCGGGUUGCCCAAAAUGCCUAUAGCUUAAUGGAUACCCACCCGUUUUAUCCGUAAUUUUUUGGAUUGGAAAAGUUAGUACCCAUACCCCCAAAUUUGCGGGUAACCCGUGGGCUCCCGCGGGUAUGGGUCGAGAUUGUCAGGUCUACCCAGAAAUAGCCGCAGGAGGAUGCAGAUCUGGCAGCAGUUUGGUUUGAUUUUCGGUUAAGGCUGGUUUUGUGCAAGGUUCUCCUAUCAAUUUCUAGCCAUUGUUGGACUAGCGUUUAAGGUAGGUUAAUGUUAUCCGAAGCCUUCGAAAUUCCUCUUAAGUAUUUGAAACCCCAGCAUGUAUAGUUUUGCAUAUAAUCAUGUUAUUUAAUAGCUCAAACUGUAGAUUUGCAUGAUUUAGAUGAAAUCUAAGUUUUGAAGCAUGUAUAGCUAAUUUUUGAUGAUUAUGAUAUGUUGAACUGAGAUUUGAAAACUUAUUAACCUGCACCUGUCACUUUUUGAAAAGUUAACAGAUUUAGCUUUAGGAGCUGAUUUUUCUUUUGUAUCAUCACUGUUAGUGCGUCGUGAAUACUUAGGCUGGUGUAGCUUGAGAUUACGCUCGUGCUGAGGGGCCGAGCUUGUUUUUACAGCAGAGUUAGGCUGUUUUGUACUGUCAGGUGCCGUCGAGGCUGACGGUGGACCCAGAUUCUCACAUCUUGUAUCAGAUUGUGUCGAGAGCACGUUAGCCCUAAUUGUUAGACUAGUUUGACCCAUUUGUAUUGACUAUAGUCUGUGUGAGUCUGAUUGAGCUCGACAGAGAUACACUUGUAUACUCGGUUGGGUCGUACCCACGAGUGCAACUUCGGAUUGAGGCUUUUCUUGCGUUGACGUCGCAGCAGUCCCGUUUGGGCAGUUUUCUUGGACCGGCCAUUCCUGUGGAUGGUGUGCGGUGUAGUUUUGGGCACAGGCUGGACUAGUCAAUUGGCGGUCCCUUAAGAUUAGGUUAGUUGUGGCUAAUUUGUAGUUAGUAAUGCAUUUGUAUGUCCAUAGAGAGUAUGGUAUGGAUAGCGAUAGUAUAGUGGCAUUCAGCUGUAGAGUUUCUUCCAGUUUACUUUACUAUUUUUUUAGCUAUCAGUUUAUUACCAUAUUGUAGACUUAGUGGGUAGGCCGUUAGGGUCGGUGACGGUACCCACUGAGGACUACUCUGUUUUGCAGCAAUUCUCACACCCAUU
rnacentral:lncRNA from 1 species